GGGAGGCGGCGGCCUCCGCGGCGGGACCUCACCUGCGGGACCUCACCGGGCAGGGCGGCCCCGCGCCGGGCCCCGGCCCCGCCUCCAGCCCCACUCCGGCGCCGGCAGCAGGACGCCGCUCGCCGCCCCGCGGACCGGCCCGCCGCGCGCCGCGCUCUACUUCCGGGGCGGCGCUCUGGCAACCGAAGACGCGGCCGCUGGCGCCGCGACUGCUUCCGGGGUCACAUUUUCCCGGCCGCUCCCUAGGCCCCCCGCCCGCCGCGCGCUCGGCGGAGAUCCUAGAAGAGCCGGCCCUCCAUCCCCGGGAACCUCGCAGCCUUCAGGACCCAGGAAUGAGGUGCUAAGAUAAUGGAGUUCCAGAAAUAGUCUUUACCCAGGAUGGAUCCGCUUCCAGAACUGGUUCUCUGCAUGAAUGACUACCUGCUCUAAAUCUGUGACAUAGUUGGGAAACCGGAAGAGAUACUCCCGACAGACAAAACAGUGAGGAAUUCCUGGAAGAUGUGUUCAGAACCGAUGAAUGGGCGGCAACCCUGGUAAAAUGGGGACAAAUACUCCCCACCAAGCAAAAGAGAAAAGCUCCAAAAAAGAGAGACAGAGUGCGAGCAGGGGAGGAGCAGAGAGAGAGGGAGAGAGGAAGAAUCCCAAGCCGGCUCCGGAGCACGAUGCGGGGCUCAAACCCGCAAACCAUGAGAUCGUGACCUGAGCCAAAACGGAGUCAGACGCUUAACCAACUGAGCCACCCCCGGCGCCCCCUCCCACUUUUUACAAAAAGUGAUGGCAAAAUACAUAGAACAUAGAAUUUGCUGUCUUUACCAUUUUUAAGUGUACAGCUCAGCCGUGUUAAGUAUAUUCACGUUGCUGUAUAAUCCCCAGAACCUCAUCAGCUCGCAAACCCGAAACUUCAUCCACGAAAUGAUGACCCUUCCUACCCUCUCCCCCCAGCCCCUGGCAGCCACCUUCCUACUUUCUGUCUCUGCAAACUGGAAGGCUCUAGGGACCUUAUA